rnacentral:lncRNA from 1 species
AACCCAUUGAACAACACCCACCACCCCCUUCCACCAUCUCCACGCCACAACUACCACCACUACCUUGGAGCGGAUCAAUACACAGCUAAGAUUGGUGAUUUGGGGUUGACAAAGAGGGCAAAAUUGAACAAAAAGGGGAAGUUGAUUGUACCUUAUUGGAGGGGCACACCAAUGUAUUUUUAGUCUGAAUUUGUGAUUUAUGGUGUGCAAGAAGCUCCGUCUGAUAUUUGGGCGGUUGGGUGUAUUGUGCUUGAAAUGUUAACUACGAACCCACCUUGGGGUCCGAAAGGAGAUAUGAAUAGUGAUGAGAUUAUUACUCGAAUUGAGGAGCUUAAUGAGUCUCCGAUGAUUGUAAGCACGUUGUCGAGAUUAUUACUCGUUAAUCACUGGUGAAAAUGAAGACGAUGAGGCGAUCAGUUUUUCAUUAUUUUCAGAUGGUUUAUGUUCUUGGUCAGAAGAAGAUGUUGAUGGUACCGAAAUCGACAUUAAUUCUUGUUAUUCUGUAGAAGAUGAAACGGGUGCCAAUGCCCCAUUGAAUGAAGUACACCAAUACCCUAUUCCUUUCACUGUUGUGUAAGAGAAUUUAUAUAAUGUUUUAUGAGAUUUGAAGUUACAUUCAUACCUAUGUUCCGUAGUCAUGUUUAAGAGAAUAUGUUAA